AUGCAGGACAAACAACAAAUGGCCCAUGCUGGCCAAACACACAACACUUGGCCAUGCCGCCGUAUACCUAGCACUCUAAUACGAGAGGACAAAAGGAGGAGAAGAAGAGGGGUUAACCUCAGAUCCAUGAACGAAGACGCAACCGGGUCAGAUCAAAGGAGGCAUCGGCAACACCCGACGAAUCUGCGAGGAAAACAAGGGGAAAUCAGAGGUGAGGAGAAGCUAGCAGCCAACAAGAGCACAUACAUACACAUAUACCUGCAAAUCGAUGACCACAACAGCAGAUCGACAGAGACCUGCAUGCAAACAAGAUCACAAAUCAACUAA
rnacentral:rRNA from 1 species